rnacentral:rRNA from 1 species
CGCUCGUAGUCGGAUUUCGGGGCGGGCCGACCGGUCUGCCGAUGGGUAUGCACUGGCCGGCGCGUCCUUCCACCCGGAGACCGCGCCUACUCUUAACUGAGCGGGCGCGGGAGACGGGUCUUUUACUUUGAAAAAAUCAGAGUGUUUCAAGCAGGCAGUCGCUCUUGCAUGGAUUAGCAUGGGAUAAUGAAAUAGGACUCUGGUGCUAUUUUGUUGGUUUCGAACACCGGAGUAAUGAUUAACAGGGACAGUCAGGGGCACUCGUAUUCCGCCGAGAGAGGUGAAAUUCUCAGACCAGCGGAAGACGAACCACUGCGAAAGCAUUUGCCAGGGAUGUUUUCACUGAUCAAGAACGAAAGUUAGGGGAUCGAAGACGAUCAGAUACCGUCGUAGUCUUAACCAUAAACCAUGCCGACUAGGGAUUGGAGGAUGUUCCAUUUGUGACUCCUUCAGCACCUUUCGGGAAACUAAAGUCUUUGGGUUCCGGGGGGAGUAUGGUCGCAAGGCUGAAACUUAAAGGAAUUGACGGAAGGGCACCACCAGGAGUGGAGCCUGCGGCUUAAUUUGACUCAACACGGGGAAACUUACCAGGUCCAGACAUUGUGAGGAUUGACAGAUUGAGAGCUCUUUCUUGAUUCGAUGGGUGGUGGUGCAUGGCCGUUCUUAGUUGGUGGAGUGAUUUGUCUGGU